rnacentral:rRNA from 1 species
GAUGAACGCUGGCGGCGUGCCUAAUACAUGCAAGUCGAGCGAACAGAUGAGGAGCUUGCUCCUCUGACGUUAGCGGCGGACGGGUGAGUAACACGUGGAUAACCUACCUAUAAGACUGGGAUAACUUCGGGAAACCGGAGCUAAUACCGGAUAAUAUAUUGAACCGCAUGGUUCAAUAGUGAAAGACGGUUUUGCUGUCACUUAUAGAUGGAUCCGCGCCGCAUUAGCUAGUUGGUAAGGUAACGGCUUACCAAGGCAACGAUGCGUAGCCGACCUGAGAGGGUGUUCGGCAACACUGGAACUGAGACACGGUCCAGACUCCUACGGGAGGCAGCAGUAGGGAAUCUUCCGCAAUGGGCGAAAGCCUGACGGAGCAACGCCGCGUGAGUGAUGAAGGUCUUCGGAUCGUAAAACUCUGUUAUUAGGGAAGAACAAAUGUGUAAGUAACUAUGCACGUCUUGACGGUACCUAAUCAGAAAGCCACGGCUAACUACGUG